rnacentral:rRNA from 1 species
UACGUAGGGCGCAAGCGUUAUCCGGAAUUAUUGGGCGUAAAGAGCUCGUAGGCGGUUUGUCGCGUCUGCCGUGGAAGUCCGGGGCUCAACUCCGGAUCUGCGGUGGGUACGGGCAGACUAGAGUGAUGUAGGGGGAGACUGGAAUUCCUGGGUGUAGCGGUGAAAUGCGUAGAGAUCAGGAAGAACACCGGUGGCGAAGGCAGGUCUCUGGGCCACUACUGACGCUGAGAAGCGAAAGCAUGGGGAGCGAACAGG